UACAGAGGUCCCGAGCGUUGUUCGGAUUUAUUGGGCGUAAAGGGUGCGUAGGCGGCGGAGUAAGUUGGGUGUGAAAUCCCGGGGCUUAACCUCGGAAUGGGCAUUCAAUACUGCUUCGCUUGAGUACUGGAGAGGAGGCUGGAAUUUACGGUGUAGCAGUGAAAUGCGUAGAUAUCGUAAGGAAGGCCGGUGGCGAAAGCGAGCCUCUGGACAGUUACUGACGCUGAUGCACGAAGGCCAAGGGGAGCAAACGGG
rnacentral:rRNA from 1 species